AGCUUUGCGCAGUGGCAGUAUCGUAGCCAAUGAGGUUUAUCCGAGGCGCGAUUAUUGCUAAUAGAAGAUACUGGUUCAUUGAAUUAUAUAGAUCUUCGACAUGUUGAUAUAUUUAAUUUUUCAGUACUAAAAAUCACAUUUGUGA